rnacentral:rRNA from 1 species
UACGGAGGAUGCGAGCGUUAUCCGGAUUUAUUGGGUUUAAAGGGUGCGUAGGCGGCUUAGUAAGUCAGCGGUGAAAUUUUGCAGCUUAACUGUAACAGUGCCGUUGAUACUGCCAGGCUAGGAUUUGGUUGCUGUGGGUGGAAUGUGUGGUGUAGCGGUGAAAUGCUUAGAUAUCACACAGAAUAUCAAUUGCGAAGGCAGCUCACAAAGCCAAGAUUGACGCUGAGGCACGAAAGUGUGGGGAUCAAACAGGA